rnacentral:lncRNA from 1 species
AAAUCAAUAGCAGAACGAAUAAGAAGAAUCAAGUAGGCAGAAAGAUAAAAGUUUCUCCAUUCUAAGAAGAAGGGAGAGUACCUUUUAUGCUUUAUGAUAGGUCUUAAUGAUUAAGAACCAUAUCUCAAUUGAUCCUCUAAGUGAGUCUUAGUACAAUUGUAUGUCUAAGAAGAGGAAUCAAGAAUUGAAGAAAUGGUUAAAUCAAUAAGUCAAUCAUACUUCGUUCCAAUAACAAGUCUUAAAGUUAAGAUUGUGACAUUGAGUGAAAAGUAUUAAGAAGGUUUAUAACAUUCAUCAAAUGUGGAAAGUUGUGAUGUCUUGGAUAAGACAAAGACCAACUAGGACCAAUUUAUGAAGUGUUUUGAUAAAAGCUACACUAACUCUUGAAUAUUUGUUUGUCAAGAAAUGGUUAUUGACAAGAGAAUCUUAUAUGUCAAGGAGUCAGUGGGAGUCUUAAUGGUCUUGAAAGGUUUCAAGAACAAAUCAAAUAAACCUUAUCGAUCAUCACUAGCACACGAGUUGAGGUUUACAACCUAUCGUGUUGACAUUAUUUUGAUUCUGUGCCAAUCCAAUCGAGUUAAUUAUGCAUGUGAGUUCUAUGAGUUCUCAUUUUGAACGCAUAAAAGGCAAAGCACCUUAAUCAAUGAAAGGUACAUUGAUAGGAAAGGGUGAGCUGCUUAACUACUUGGAAGACAUGGUGGGCAGCUGUGCUACCAUAAGGCAAGAAAUCAAGAUUAAGAAAGUUCGGUCCAUAUGAGUUUGAAUUUGUCGUAAACUUUGGUUUUAACAAAUUCACAUGGAUAGGAACACAUACACCGUUUAAAUCUAAGUGUCAUAAGAUUUCCUCCUUCAUGAAAAUGAUUGUGAGGAAAUGCUUUCACUAAGAAAGAUUUUAAGAAGAUAGUGAUUGUAAAAUUGCAUUCUCGAAUUCGAUUAUGGUUACGGUAUCCCUUUCCAUAAUUUGAAUUGUGAGGUUUGGCAAUUAGUCUUAAUUGUUUAGACACACAUAUGAACUAUCGAAGGCAAAGGUGUAUAAGUUCAAGAAGCCUUGAUAAAAGAUUAUCAAAGCACUAAGUAUUAGAAACAUGAACUUAAGAAAUUCAAUAAGUAUUGUUUUUCUGAAAGUUAAGAUGUUUAUGAAUACAUGUCGAAGCUAGUGGGAGCAUAAGUGUUAUGUUUUAUAAUAAUCAUCAUGAUAGUGGGAGCAUAAAUGUUAUGAUUGUAUGAUUAUUAAGGCACGUAUUGCAAGUUGGCAAUAUUAAUUAUAGAAAACAAGAGUUAUACCUUGCAAAGUCGUAAGGGUUGAAAAGUUGUUUUGCUAUAAUUAAGGGAGAGAAUAUUAUGCUUCAUUUCAAAUCUAAAGGAUUAGGUUGAGAAAUGUUAAUAAAUUUAGUCAAAGGUACAUAGUGUGUUCUUAAAAUUUCGAUUAUGAUUACGGCAUUCCUCUUCACAAUUCGAAUUUUGAGAACAUAGCAAAUAAAACAUUAUGCGUCGUGUCCCAUACGCUUCGGGUAUAGGAUCGAUUGCAAAUGCUUUAAUGUUUGACCAUUCUAAAAUUUUCCAAAUGUCUAGCGCAUUUAGAGGGAAAAAGGACUAGAAUCGGUUUUGACUAAAAUAAUUAAACAACUAUCAAAGGACAAUCCAAAGUUCGCCGAGGAUUGGUCGCUUGUGAGUAGUUGGAAGUAUAGUAUUGGAAAAUAUGGAAAUGUUUCCAUAUUGGAUGGACCAUAUCGACAUUAUUAUGAAUAGAUAAGAUUCUAUUAAGAAUGAGUUGUCAUAUGGAAAAUAUGGAAACGUGUCCAUAUUGGGAAUUGAAUAUUGAAAAUCUAUGUCUAGAUUAGAAACUUUUAUGCAAAAGGAUGUUCAAAGGAAUGUACUUUGAGUGAGAGACAUCAUAUCUAAGGAAUUGUCUUGUAACAAUCUCCGAUAGAGGACUUUGUAAUAUCAUUGGCAAUAGUCUUUGUGACUUUGGUGCAGUGACAUUACGAAAGGAUCAUUGCAUAAAAUGUUAGAAUCUAGCAUAUUCUAUAAGUAGCAAGAAUUUGAUAUUCUUUCACUUAUGAAAAAGGAUUUGGAGUUGUGAAAUGAGAAUGAUUGGAAAUGUGUUCAAUUUGAUCUAUUUCACAAAGUAAGAACCAUAGGUAAACAUUGUGUGCAUGCUAGGAGCAUGGGACAAGUGUAAUAAUUCAAGUAAGAAGUUGAUUACCCGAAACGACAAAUAAUGAGUAAUCGAUAUGGUGAUAAAUAAAAGGUGUUUUAUUUAUACUCAAAGGUUUGAGGCCAUAUGGGAUUAGUAUUAUUCUUGUGUUUCACUUUGCAUGUUUUGACUUCCUGAAUAAUUUAAUUGGUUAAGAACAGUCAAAUUAUUCGAACGGGCCACAGUCGUUCAUAUGUUGGAAGUAGGUAUGAAUGAAGACUGUCGUGAAUUGGUGUGUGGAUUGUCUAAAGAGUAUUAGACAUAAGCAAAUGUUUGCUGCAACGUUCAUGAGUGCUUAUGAAUAUGAUUUGAGCAUUGGAUUAAACCCACGCUCACUUGGAUCACUCCAUGAAUUGUAUCACGAGUGAUUGGUGAGACGAUAACAUCUUAUAUUCUUGAAACCGAGAUGUGUGAGUUGUAUCUUGCAAAUCGGUUGCACAUUGAUAAUAUGUAAACGCACUAGUAACUUGGUGUUAUAAAACAUAUUGUUGUGUGUGAUUCGGUGAGUGAGUGCAAGCAAGCAUUGUAUCAAAGUUUAUCCGUUCCUUUUAUCCAAAGUAGGAUAAAAGCGAUAUCUUUGGGCCCCUCGAUGAUUUAGUGAUGACAAACGUAAAUGCUCGGCCGGGCUAGGGCUAAUUUGAUUUGUUCAAUUAGUCAGUCGUCAUAAAUCGGGAAUCGAGAUAUAGUACAAAGAGAAUGAUUUGAAAUCAUAUCUCAUAUGAUAUCUAGAAUGGAGGAAUAUAUGAUCCCUUAUCUAAGGACACGCGUAUCUGAUAGGAUCAGAGUUGACAGCGGCUUUGGAAAGCUACGAUUGCAGAUCAGGAUCUGAAGUCAUACGCAGAAUAGUUAUUAGACUUAUCCAAGUGGGAGACUGUUGGAUUAGUGUCUAAGUCCAUAACUAUUUUGGUAUGUACUUGACCCGAUGGUGCAUGGUCCUUUUGGGUUGCCUUCACCAAAGCAACUUGAUAGGAUGAAUUAUGGAGAGAAAGGAUUAAAUAUGAUUUAUUAAUAUAUUAUGAGAAUAAUAUAUUAAAGGAGAAAUCAUAUUGUUUAAUUAAUAUUAGUCAAUAAUUAAUUGGUAAUUAGUUUUGUGACUAAAAGAGAUUAAUUAAACUUAAGGGACUGGAAUUGUAAUUAUAAGAUAAUUGCAAUUUGGGCCAUGGAUUGUCUUAAAUCAAGAGGUGGACGAAUUCUUAUGGGAAGCCCAUAAGGAAAUCGUCCAAGGGCUUGAUUAAAGGAGUCUAUGGGUUGCUUAGGGCUUAAGCAACCAAAUUAGGGUUUCCUUGUUAGAUAACCCUAAUAGCCUCACUAUAUAUAGAACCCUUAAGGCUCAAAAACGUGGGGAACUUCUUUUCUAGGGUUAGAACACGUUUUGGGCAGCCUCCAUCCUCUCUCCUCUUCAUCCUCUUGCUUAUGGUGUUUGUAAGCCAUUAGAGGAGUGACACUUGUGACUCUAAGCCUUCCAAAGUCAAUUCAAGGAGGAAUUGGGAUUGUUAUUGCUACAUAACAAUCAAGGUAAUAUCUUAAACCUAAUUAUAUGUUAAUAUUGAUUUCCAUAUGCUAGAAUUAGGGUUUAUAGUCUUGGAUUCAAAGCAUGUACAAUAGAGAAACCUAGAUCCAAGCAUUAGGGUUUGUAUGAGCACAUAGGAUGUCUUAUGACCAAAACCCAUCAGUGGUAUCAGAGCCUAGACUGGUUUCAAUUGUAUUGAUGCAUUGCAUAUCUGGAAAAUUUGUUUUUUUGGGGUUCUGGAGGCUGGACUCGCCGAGUCCAUAGCUGAACUCGCCGAGUCCAAGGUGACUCGACGAGUCCAAGCCUGACUCGACGAGUCAACUCGUCAGAUGGAGGGUACUUCGGGAUUUCUUGUUGUUUUUGCUUAUGGAUAGUUACCUUAUCAUGUUAGAUCAAUAUUAAUCCGAUUAUAUGAUAUAUUUGACUAUAUUUUUGAUCUAAUUGAAGAUAUUUAUCAAUUAAUAAGAUAAUUGUUUCCUUAUGUGAUAAUUGAUUAAUUAUUUUGACUAAAUUGAUAAAUUGUUUUGCAAGAAAUCAUUAAAUAAAUCAAAUAUGGAUAAUUAUGUGAUUAAUUGUUAAUUUAGAUUAUUUGUUAUUUGAUCCUUGUUGUUAUGAAAAGUUUCAUAUUUUUCCCCUUAGGUUUUAUAGUUUAAAUUUGAACCCAAAAGUUUUGUUGUUUUGAAAUUUAAAUAGUUGAAACCCUAAUGUUUUGAAAAAGGUUUCAAAACUUGCCCUCAAGUUUUGGAAUUUAAAUUUUGAUUAAAUAGUUUAAUUUUGAUGUAUAUUUAAAUUCUAAACCCUAAUGUGUUGAAAUGUUUCAAAACUUGCCCUCAAGUUUUGGAAUUUAAAAGUUGAUUAAAAGUUUAAUUAGGAAUGUUAAAUUCUAAAACUCUAGUAUAGUUUUGAAAAAGUUCAAAUCACACCCUUAUGGUUUUAUUAAUUAAUUAAGGUGUAUAAUUAAAAGAGGUUUAAUAAAUCCAUAAAAGUUUAGGUUUACAAUUUAAUUGAAUUAAAAGUAUAAUUGUUAAAUUUGACCACCUAGUAUUUUAAAAGUGUAAAAUACACCCUAUACUAUAUAUAACAUUAAAAGUCUAACAUUAUAUAUAUGUAUGAGUAAAAGUCAGUCUUACCGUUAGUAGGCCUCAUUCACGAAGCUGGUCUAUAAGGGGUGUUUAAGGAAAUUGCCUAUAAAAUGGCGAUUGAAUGGGUAUCCACUCUUACCCACCGCACUCUUGACUAGUGGAGGGUCGUUAGCCGAACGGGUAGGAUAGGACGAAACCUUCCAUUAUAAGUAUAAUGAAGUAUAAAAGUAACUAAAUGUUUUCAUAAAAUUCCCAAUCUUAGUUACUUAGGCAAAAGUGAAUUGAUGCAAUUCCAUGAAAUUACACUUUGUGCCCUUGCGAAGACGUUAGUGGAGCGUGUGUGGUUUACCGGCACACUAAAUGGUUCUAAGCAAAGGUAGCAAAGGGUGACUCAAUGUUUGUCAUAGUUCGGUGGAGCGUGUGUGGUUUACCGGCACAUCGAAUAGGUGACUGUAACAUGUGAGGGCACCAUGUAAGUUUGCAUGGUUAUUCACACCCGCUUUGUGAUCCUCGGCAUCCCAGUCACAAACAAGAGGGGCAUAUCGAGAUUUAAACAUGCCAUUGAAAUGUUCAAUGAAUCUCAAAGGAUCUAGGAGUUUUCAUAGAUUUAAAACUUAAAUUUCUUUUUCGUUUUUCAUGGUGGAAAUUAGUGAAUCGUCAUUCACUUACCUUCAAAUGUUCUGCAAUUUGGGUUACGGCAUCCCUCUCCCGAGUUGUAGAAUAUUGUGUUGGGUCCUAGCCUUAGUAUCUCAUUUGGGUGAUUUACUAAGGACUCAAUCAAUCAACUAACUUGAAUUCGUUUUCUCCCGUUUUGUAGAUGUCAAAGUUCGACAACUAUGGUCUUCCCAAAUCCCGUGGAACAAGCUUUCCACAUGAAGAUGAUAUUCCACGAUUCGAUCGAGGAACAAGAAAUCAUGCUUCACUUCCUCCACCUCCUCCAAUUAUUCUCCCUAACCCACAAGUUCAAAGGCUUGAAAAGUUCAAGAUCACUCAAGCCCUUUUGGCAAGUAAACAUAAAGAAGGAAAGUCGGUGUGUGCACACGUCCUAGGGAUGAAGUCACACAUUGAUAGGUUAAGAAUGUUGGGAUCCGUUGUCUGUGAGGAAAUGGCUGUUGAUUGGGUUCUUCAGUCACUUCCUAACUCAUAUAGUGAGUUCGUAAGAGAGUACUAUAUGAUGAACCGCGACGUGACCCUUAUAGAUCUCACCUAUAUGCUUAUUGCUGCUGAAUCAGCAAUGGUUUGGCGCAAUAGAAAAGCAAAGUUGAUUGGUGAAUCUGCCUUCGAGACCUCUAUGGAUAUAGACAAUGGCAACGAAAGACAUGCUAUGAUCGAAAAGUUUGAUCAUAAGAGAAAGGCAAUGUCUGAAGUAGUUCCAUGUCAUGUUCCAAAAGAGUCAAUUUGCUUUUAUUGCCAAGAGAAAGGGCAUUGGAGACGAAGCUGCCCCAUUUACCUAAGAGAUCUAAGAGAUGGGAGAGUUGAAAUGUAUGGCUCUAAUAUAGGUAAAAUCCAUUAACUAACUCUUUUAAGCUUAUAUUCUAGAUUCUUAAUACAUAAUGUAAUAAGAUUACAAUUGAUGUUUUGUAGGAUUGAAGAAAAGAAAGGAAGCUUAAGGGAAGAAGUGAGCAGAAUCUAACCGUGAAGGAAUGGAUUUCGAUCACAUUUCUCGAAGAUUAGAUUCUUGAGCUACUGCUUAGAGUUAGAAUUAGAUUGAUAAGAAAGAUGUAUUAGCAUAUGUUUUCAAUGAAUUGCAUUGUAAGGACAAAAUUUUUCCGCAAUAAAAUAAAUUUUGAUUUUAUAUUAUUUAUUUAUCCUUGCAAUGGCGUAUAUGAAAAAUUGAUGUUUGAAUGUUUCUAUUAUUAGCAAUAAUGGAUUUGGUUCUUAUUAUGUUAUUUAUGGAAAGUCGAGAGUUUACCAAAUAGGGAGAGUUUCUCAUCGCCCAAGUUUCAAUUGGACAGAAACUUGGAAUCAUGCAACUUGGUUGCACGAUGAAUGAGAAAUUUCAUAUUUGGAAAUUAGACUAAUUCAUUGACAAAGUGUCAAGUGAAGGACUAGGAGAUCGAGUACACAAAGUUGCGUGUUGAUCAAGUCCACCAUAAGAGUAACAAAGAUAUUCGUCAUGAUUUACUAAAGGUUUAGUAAAUAUGAUUAUACUUAUAAGAUUAAGUGUAAUUCUGAAUUGAUUGAAAAAGUUUAAAUCAAUAGCAGAACGAAUAAGAAGAAUCAAGUAGGCAGAAAGAUAAAAGUUUCUCCAUUCUAAGAAGAAGGGAGAGUACCUUUUAUGCUUUAUGAUAGGUCUUAAUGAUUAAGAACCAUAUCUCAAUUAAUCCUCUAAGAGAGUCUUGGUACAAUUGUAUGUCUAAGAAGAGGAAUCAAGAAUUGAAGAAAUGGUUAAAUCAAGAAGUCAAUCAUACUUCGUUCCAAAACAAGUCUUAGAGUUAAGAUUGCGACAUUGAGUAAUAAGAAUUAGAAU